ACUCAAAGGAAUAGACGGGCACCCGCACAAGCGGUGGAGCAUGCUGUUUAAUUCGAAGAUACGCGAAAAACCUUACCUGGGCUUGACAUCCCAUUGACCGUUCUAGAGAUAGGACUUUUCCUUCGGGGACAAUGGUGACAGGUGGUGCAUGGUUGUCGUCAGCUCGUGUCGUGAGAUGUUCGGUUAAGUCCGAUAACGAGCGCAACCCUUACCCUUAAUUGCUAACAUUUAGUUGAGAACCUUAAGGGGACUACCGGCGAUAAGUCGGGGGAAGAUGGGGAUGAGGUCAAAUCAUCAUGCCCCUUACGUCCAGGGCUACAGGCGUGCUACAAUGGCUGAUAUAAAAAGAUGCAAGAUCGCGAGAUGGAGCAAAUCUCUAAAGUCAGUCCCAGUUCGGAUUGGAGUCUGCAACUCGACUCCAUGAAGUUGGAAUCGCUAGUAAUCGUGAAUCAGAACGUCACGGUGAAUACGUUCCCGGGUGUUGUACACACCGCCCGU
rnacentral:rRNA from 1 species